GCCAAAAUAGCAGAGUAUUGCAGUAUGCAAUGAUAACCUUUUUAUUGGACUAACAUAAUAUUUCAUAGAUAAGCUUUCAAGAGUUUUCCUCUGACCUGAGGAAGAGAGAAAAACUCUGGAAAGCGUGUCUUUGAAAUAUUAUGUUAGUCCAAUAAAAAAGGUAUCAUUGCAUACUGCAAUACUCUGCUAUUUUGGC